rnacentral:sRNA from 1 species
AGUAUAGAGUUUUAUCCUGAUGAAAGCAAAACUAUAUUUUUUGUUUUCAUGGGGAUAAGACCCUAUCAUGGUUAUAGUGGCUUUCGGUGUAUCCAUCUUCCAAUAGAUUAACGUUUGUUAAUCAUCUGUUUUGACACCGAACCAUUAUUUGUUUUCAUUCAUCUCAUUUGCCGUGUAGUUUCAGUCUAUGCCUCAUCCCGUUAUGCAUAGACAAAUGAACAUGAUGGCGCAAUCGUUGAUGGUCGUUGAUGGUCGUUGAUNCUA